rnacentral:rRNA from 1 species
UACGGAAGGCGCUAGCGUUGUUCGGAAUUACUGGGCGUAACGCGCGCGUAGGCGCCUUACCAAGUUGGGGGUGAAAUCCCGGAGCUCAACUCCGGAACUGCCUUCAAAACUGGUAGGCUCGAGUCCGGAAGAGGGGCGUGGAAUUCCCAGUGUAGAGGUGAAAUUCGUAGAUAUUGGGAAGAACACCGGUGGCGAAGGCGGCGCCCUGGUCCGGUACUGACGCUGAGGCGCGAAAGCGUGGGGGGCAAACAGG